UACGAAGGGGGCUAGCGUUGCUCGGAUUGACUGGGCGUAAAGGGCGCGUAGGCGGUUCGUACAGUCAGACGUGAAAUUCCUGGGCUCAACCUGGGGGCUGCGUUCGAGACGGGUAUUCUUGAGUUCGGAAGAGGGUCGUGGAAUUCCCAGUGUAGAGGUGAAAUUCGUAGAUAUUGGGAAGAACACCGGUGGCGAAGGCGGCGACCUGGUCCGAGACUGACGCUGAGGCGCGAAAGCGUGGGGAGCAAACAGG
rnacentral:rRNA from 1 species